rnacentral:rRNA from 1 species
CCUACGGGUGACAGCAGUGAGGAAUAUUGGUCAAUGGACGAGAGUCUGAACCAGCCAAGUAGCGUGAAGGAUGACUGCCCUAUGGGUUGUAAACUUCUUUUAUCUGGGAAUAAAAUGUUCCACGUGUGGGAUUUUGUAUGUACCAUAUGAAUAAGGAUCGGCUAACUCCGUGCCAGCAGCCGCGGUAAUACGGAGGAUCCGAUCGUUAUCCGGAUUUAUUGGGUUUAAGGGGCGCGUAGGUGGAUUGUUAAGUCAGUUGUGAAAGUUUGCGGCUCAACCGUAAAAUUGCAGUUGAAACUGGCAGUCUUGAGUGCAGUAGAGGUGGGCGGAAUUCGUGGUGUAGCGGUGAAAUGCUUAGAUAUCACGAAGAACUCCGAGUGCGAAGGCAGUUCACUGGACUGCAACUGACACUGAGGCUCGAAAGUGUGGGUAUCAAACAGGAUUAGAUACCCUGUAGUC